AUACUUACCUGACAGGGGUCAUACCAUAAUCAAGAAGGCAGUUUUCCCAGGACGAGACUCAUCCACUGCACACUGGAUGCACUGACCACUUUCAUCUUCUGAGAAAGAGAGAAAAGACAAACUGUGUAGUUAGUCUUCUACAAGCUAUAACUACUGUUGUCCACAUU